CCCUACGGGGUGCAGCAGGCGAGAAAACUUUGCAAUGUGCGAAAGCACGACAAGGUUAAUCCGAGUGGUUUCUGCUAAAGGAACCUUUUGUCAGUCCUAGAAACACUGAUGAAUAAGGGGUGGGCAAGUUCUGGUGUCAGCCGCCGCGGUAAAACCAGCACCUCAAGUGGUCAGGAUGAUUAUUGGGCCUAAAGCAUCCGUAGCCGGCUUUGUAAGUUUUCGGUUAAAUCCAUGCGCUCAACGUAUGGGCUGCCGGGAAUACUGCAAAGCUAGGGAGUGGGAGAGGUAGACGGUACUCGGUAGGAAGGGGUAAAAUCCUUUGAUCUAUUGAUGACCACCUGUGGCGAAGGCGGUCUACCAGAACACGUCCGACGGUGAGGGAUGAAAGCUGGGGGAGCAAACCGGAUUAGAUACCCGGGUAGUCCCAGCUGUAAACUAUGCAAACUCAGUGAUGCAUUGGCUUGAUGCCAAUGCAGUGCUGCAGGGAAGCCGUUAAGUUUGCCGCCUGGGAAGUACGUACGCAAGUAUGAAACUUAAAGGAAUUGGCGGGGGAGCACCACAAGGGGUGAAGCCUGCGGUUCAAUUGGAGUCAACGCCAGAAAUCUUACCCGGAGAGACAGCAGAAUGAAGGUCAAGCUGAAGACUUUACCAGACAAGCUGAGAAGAGGUGCAUGGCC
rnacentral:rRNA from 1 species